UACGAAGGGGGCUAGCGUUGUUCGGAUUUACUGGGCGUAAAGCGCACGUAGGCGGAUUGGUCAGUUAGGGGUGAAAUCCUGGAGCUCAACUCCAGAACUGCCUUUAAUACUGCCAGUCUCGAGUCCGGAAGAGGUAAGUGGAACUCCUAGUGUAGAGGUGGAAUUCGUAGAUAUUAGGAAGAACACCGAGUGGCGAAGGCGGCACUCUGGGCCGGUACUGACGCUGAGGAGCGAAAGCGUGGGGAGCAAGCAAGAG
rnacentral:rRNA from 1 species